rnacentral:lncRNA from 1 species
CCCAGGAGCGGGGGUUUCCAAUGACGCUAACAUUCUUUUUCCUUUAAGGUGGUUGUUUAUACAUUAAAGCAGUUCCUGUGCAGUCUCCUUACGACACAAGAUAAGAAGG